rnacentral:rRNA from 1 species
UACGUAGGGGGCAAGCGUUGUCCGGAUUUAUUGGGCGUAAAGAGCGUGUAGGCGGCCAGGUAGGUCAGCUGUGAAAACUCGAGGCUCAACCUCGAGACGUCGGUUGAAAACCACCUGGCUAGAGUCCGGAAGAGGAGAGUGGAAUUCCUGGUGUAGCGGUGAAAUGCGCAGAUAUCAGGAAGAACACCCGUGGCGAAGGCGGCUCUCUGGGACGGUACUGACGCUGAGACGCGAAAGCGUGGGGAGCGAACAGG